CCCGGACCCCAUCCUCGUUCCUCAGCCAGACAGGGAUCCGUUACCUGCAGAGCAGCUCGACAACCCUGCAGGUAGUCCUCCAUGGUGAAGUCCAAGGUGCGCCACCGCCCCUCGCGGAGGAGCGGUUACCCAGCGUGUGUACCCCACCCAGGACUCAAAGGCCAGAGGCCAGAGUCAGUAGGCGGGACUCGAACCCGCCAAACAGAGACUCGGCCUCCGACCCCGAGAGGAAGUGCGUAACCCGGCGAUCCCGGAGGCGGACACCGCCCCGCCUCCCUCCCCCCCCACACACCAGCGCCCAGAGACUCAAGGGACGUCCCUCCGGAAGGGGAGGGGCGUGGCGCAAGGCGUCCUGGGAAACGUAGUCCAGAAACUCCGAGAUGACCCCCAACCAUUGAGGGAAGGAGAAUUUUCUCAAGUGAUUUGAUACACAAAUGUGUAUGCGUCAUAGUCACUCAUCUUUUGGCAUCUGAACUCACUCUUCCAGAGAUGGCUAAGUAUAGCAUCUUUCCAUAUAUCGCACCAAGCAUCUGGCUGACGUUUUAAAUUAUAACAUGGCGAACGGCUCUCCAUCUUCCUUUCUCAAAUUUUCCCUUUCACCAAAUUGACCCGUUGCCGCCGAUUUUGUGGUUGUCCAUGCUAGAAAAGUACUAGGAUAAUCUUUGACACCUCUUCUUUACUUAAUACCUACAGUCUUGCCAACUCCUGCUUCCUUUAAAACUCUACAGCCUCACCCCACGCGGUGGCGCGCGCCUGUAAUCCCAGCGGUUCAGGAGGCUGAGGCAGGAGGAUCAGGAGUUCAAAGUCAGCCUCAG
rnacentral:lncRNA from 1 species